AUCUUCACUUUAAAGGUACAGAGUCCAAGAUGACAUUGCUGGGAAGUAGUGGAACCAGUAUGGAACAGAAGCCUGUCUGGCUCCAGUGGCCUGCUUUUAGCGACCAUGCUCUAUUGCUUAUGUAAGCAGACAUCCAAAUUCAUAAAUGCAUCUACAGCUUGUCUGUUCCCAUCAGAACCCACAACGAUCACUCAUUUUGAAAAAAUUUACCGCAGCAACUUUGCAUGCUGACAUCAGUAAGAACCCAUGUUUGCUUCUUAUCAGGCAGUGAUAAACAACAACAGAAAAGAGACUCCUCAGUCCUUUACCUGUGGGAGUUGAGGGGCAAGAAGAAUGCCUUCUGGAAGCUGAUGAAGUUGGACAUAUGGCCUCCUGGAAACUGGAUAAAAUAAAAUCCCCAACAGAGACUUGCAAAGCAUGGCCUAAGUAAGAAGAAAAAUAUUUUGAGACCACAGAAAAAGAAUGGAAUGAAAAAUAAAAUGAAGAAAAUUAAGAGUGGAGCCAGGACAAGCAGAAAUGCUGGAGGAAAAAGGCGUAAAGUUGCUAAAAUGAUUUCAUCCAGAGAGUAGGUCGGCAGAAAGGUGAAUUCUGAUUACGGGUGAAGGGACGUGGGGGAAUUAUGUACACGUUGUCAAGGAAAUAAAACUUUAUCCAGAUAAUGGUAACUAUUGGUUGUUAUUAAGCACGGGAGAAAUAAAGCCAGAUUUUUGUUCUGGAAGAAUAAUUGAUGAGCAUGUGGAGGAUGAAUUGGAAACAGAAAGACUUUGGUCUGAGACAAACUAAAAGAUGCCUAUGAAGUCCCAGGAUUGCAGAAACAUUCCAUAGGCAGAAGUGACCAGACCUGAUGCCUGACUGAAUGUUUUUGGGGGAGGGGGACGCGAUGGAGAAAAGGAGGAAAGAUGACUGAGGUUCCUAGUGUCAGCAGCUGGGUGGAUGGUAAAGUCAUUAAACAAAACAGGGGCAAUGCGAGCGUGAGGGGCCAGCUGAUGAAUGUGCUUCAACGUGUUGAGAGGAGGCAGAUGCUGCCAUCCAAGAGACUAGCAGUGGUGCUAAGGAAAGUGGAUGAGCUAAGGAAAAGUGCCUUUCUCUGUAUUUACUAUGCAUAAUGGUUAUACCCAGAGGAGAAUUAAUCCAUUCAGGGAGUGAGUGAUUAGGGAGGAAAAAAUUUAAUCUGAGGAGGAAACUCUGGAAAACAAAACAAAGGGAAUGAGCAAAAAUGUCUGGCAGAACCUUGCUUCUGUUGGGUAAGGUUCUAUUACAACUUGUUUCCAAGUUCUGGAAGGAUUCUUCAGAUGGCCCAUGAGGUGAAGUCAGCUAUUUUAAAAUCCGGAAUGUCCCGGUCCUCAGUUACUUGAGGCUCCCUUUGGCUUCCCUCCCUCUGGCUGUGAGAUUAACUGCUCUGCUGACCAUAACCAUUCCUGGAAAUGAGGACAGUGAGGUUCUCUCAGAGGAGAGGCUCUCCUUUGCCCUGAUGCCCUAGGGCUUGGACACUACAACAGUGUGAGGACAUAGCCCGGUUUGUGCAGCAUGAGAACAUCUCUCUCCUAAGGUUAUGGUUCAGGAAGAUGGAGAGGACUUUUAUUGCUCACCUGCCCUCACUGAUACAUUUAGAGCUUGCCAUAAACAUAGCCAUCACCUCCAAAGUUUCCUCCUGCCCUCUUUAUUAUUAUUAUUUUUGUGUGAUAAGAACACUCAACGUAAGGUCUGCUUUCUUACCAAAUGUUUGAUAUUGUCAACUAUAGGCACAUGCUGUAUAGUAGAUUUCCAGGACUUAUUCAUCUUCCAUAACUGAAACUUUUACCCUUGACCACUUCUCUCCAGCCAUUGAAUCUUCUAGCUUUGCUCCAGUUUCAAUUUAACCCGUUGUCAGAGGCUUAUUUUGUAUCAUAUUAACAAACAGAAAAUAUUUUAAAAUGUUAAGUAGUAAGAAGGACUUAACUUGGCUUUCCUAUCUUUUCAGGUCAGCCAGAAGUUUCCACCAGUGCCUCUUCAUUCCUUUUUUGUUGAGGAAGCUUGGCCCUGAGCUAACAUCUGUUGCCAAUCUUCCCUUUUCUUUUUUUAUUCCCCA